AAAUUGAAGAGUUUGAUCAUGGCUCAGAUUGAACGCUGGCGGCAGGCCUAACACAUGCAAGUCGAACGGUAACAGGAAGCAGCUUGCUGCUUCGCUGACGAGUGGCGGACGGGUGAGUAAUGUCUGGGAAACUGCCUGAUGGAGGGGGAUAACUACUGGAAACGGUGGCUAAUACCGCAUAACGUCGCAAGACCAAAGAGGGGGACCUUCGGGCCUCUUGCCAUCAGAUGUGCCCAGAUGGGAUUAGCUUGUUGGUGAGGUAACGGCUCACCAAGGCGACGAUCCCUAGCUGGUCUGAGAGGAUGACCAGCCACACUGGAACUGAGACACGGUCCAGACUCCUACGGGAGGCAGCAGUGGGGAAUAUUGCACAAUGGGCGCAAGCCUGAUGCAGCCAUGCCGCGUGUAUGAAGAAGGCCUUCGGGUUGUAAAGUACUUUCAGCGGGGAGGAAGGUGUUGCGGUUAAUAACCGCAGCAAUUGACGUUACCCGCAGAAGAAGCACCGGCUAACUCCGUGCCAGC
rnacentral:rRNA from 1 species